UUGAGAUGUUUUAUCAAAUACAGCCAUGCAUUACAAAACAAGAGGUGUAUUGUGGGUAGUAUUUACUAUUUGGUGAUUAAUUAAAUGAAUGGGAAGGGAAACAUAAUGCUUCAGAACCACAUUAUUUGGGAGGAAUAACAAUAAUUGUCAGAUGUUUACGUAUUAGGAAUAAAACUAAUUUCAAAAAACAAGGAAUAUUAGCUCUUAUAUUUUUAAAUGGUCAGAAUAAUAAUUUAUAUUUCGUAGGACUGAACCAAUUUGCCCCCGGCACAAUGUCUUUACAUUGUGGUCCCCGGCAAGCCUUUGAAGCCCUUGGGAGAUAGGUCGGGUGGAAGUUUAGAACAAGGGUGAAAUAGUAGGAUGAAGGCAAAGGAGAAGAAGACUUUAAAUGUAUAAACAAUAGUUUAGAUUGUAAACAGGACUGUUC